CGCAUAUGUACGUGUAUAGAAUAUUAAUAUACAUUUCUAAAUGAAGUUGUGUAAAAGUAUAUAAGUUUGGAUAUAUUUACAUAAAAUACAGUACUGUGUUGAGUCCAAAGACUAAAUACAUUACAAAAACUUUCAUUGUAGACAAAUGCUUUGGCUGAUUAAAAAAAUUACUUCAGAUGUGUCUAUCAGUAAGCUCAUACAAGAAGCUUAAAGGAACUUAGACAUUUCCAUUAUGGAACUGAAUUGGUCAAGUAACUACCAAACAGAGUAAGUCAGUUUCUUUAUCACUGAUAUUUUGCUAAAUGAAACUGAACCAUGGACCACCGUUUUUCCUGGCUCAUAAGCUACUAACACCAAGUUGUAAAACUACUCCUUUAAACAGAUUGGAUAAAAAAGUGUUAUUACAUAAAUUAAUCAAAUGAUUUAUUUAGAUGUUUAUGGGGUAUGAAGGCACAGGCAUAGUCUCUUUCAUCUAGCAUAAUUCAGUUGGCAUCUCUUAUAUGGAUCUUAGAUGUGUGAGUGAAACUUUGAGGGGAAAAAAUAGCUUGGUGAUUUCCCAAGCUUACUAUGCACUGCCAAAACCUUUGAGCUAACAGUACAACUGCUGUAUAUGCAAAGUAAUGUUUAGAAGCCUUUUAAGGCAGUAGCUGGAUGUUCUAAAAUGCCAAAGUGUUUUACUGAUCAUGUACCUUAGACAAGCACUGUGUUGACAUUAUGUUUACUUCUGGGAUGGCACCUUACUUAUUUUAACCAUACUUACCAUGAUACCCCUCAAUUAACGACAUAAAUAUCCAUGGAAGUGUAUGUGUUUAGGAGGGGUUGUCUUCAAAUAAGUAUUUCGCCAAACUCCACUACUAUGCAUGCCUUUUAGAGUUUUUGGUUAUGUAUCUACUAACUAUUGUGUUUGUACAACUCUGUACAUAUUUUGUGUUCUCAGAUUUUGUAAAACCAUGUUGUAAAAAGGUAUUGUAGAAGUAAAUGCUUGUGAGGUUGAGAAACUAAUAAAGGGC
ensembl:lncRNA